rnacentral:rRNA from 1 species
UACGAAGGGGGCUAGCGUUGCUCGGAAUUACUGGGCGUAAAGGGCGCGUAGGCGGUUUGUACAGUCAGAUGUGAAAUUCCCGGGCUCAACCUGGGGGCUGCAUUUGAUACGUGCGGACUUGAGUGGGGAAGAGGGUCGUGGAAUUCCCAGUGUAGAGGUGAAAUUCGUAGAUAUUGGGAAGAACACCGGUGGCGAAGGCGGCGACCUGGUCCUUGACUGACGCUGAGGCGCGAAAGCGUGGGGAGCAAACAGG